UUGGUUCCAGUAAGACAAUAUGUCCUUCCUAAAUUUUUCAAAGGAGCACACCUUCAGGACCUGGAUGCAGCAGAGUAUGAAGAAGCUCCAGCUCUGCCAUACAAUAUUGCUACAGUAAGAUUUCUUUUCUGACCCAAAAAAAAAAAAUAAACCAAAGUUCACAUCCUAAGAUUGCUUCAUUCAUAUAUAUAAUUUCUUCGUUAUGUUUGUUUACAGGAGUCUGAGCUGGGGGCUGGGGCUACUCGUGCAGGGGAUGGAGAGAUACUAGAUGAAGUUAUUACCCGUAGCCGAGGAGAGUUCAGGCAUGUGAGCAGUCCUAAAAUUACAAGUACUACUGGAACCCCUGCAAAUGAUCCUAAAAGCCAUCAAAGCCCGCGUCUCUCGUACACGUAUAGUCCUCGUUUAAGUGAACUGAAAGGAGAGAAAAGUCCUAAGGCUAGUGGAAGAGGGCCUAUAAGUCCAAGACCUGCAGAACUAGGAUUAUCUAAGUUAGGAAAGAGUCCUUCAAAUUCAGCACAAAAGUAGUGCAGAAAGUUUGGCUAGUUUGAUUUCUGUUAGUUAAUAGUUAGUAGCUUUGGAUUGCUUCUGCUUGCCCCCUUCCUUUUAUUUUCGGUGUGUUGUUUUGGUUGGAAUUGCUGUAAAAUAUUUCUCCUUUCUGCUCUUAUCUUUUAGAGCAUAUCUGUAACUUACAAAUAUACUAAUGGAUAUUGUUCUUUUCAGAGCAAUUUGUUUAUAUUGCCUUAAGAGUUCAAUCUUCUUCAAUGCAAACCUUAACAUUAAAAACAUUAUAAUUUACAGCGCAACAGACCAAUAUCCUUGAUUCAGUUCAUUUACAAGCCAUAUUUGCCCCCCAUUUGCAAGCUCAUACCUACCUAUGUUACAGGCAAAGAUAUGAUCCGUUGAUCACUAAACACUCGAGAGUGCAAAAGAUCACUGGAUUUGAAGUUUGGACAAUCACUACUGCUUUAUCUAAUACUAUUAUCAAGAAACCACUCGGCCCAGCAGAAAUAUCCCAUGUCUUUCCCAGCCUUUCUGUCUGAUGCAUGGUAUAAGCAAAUUCCAAUUGCAGAGGCAUUUGUCAUCAAAUGUAUUGAUGGGAGAGGGUCCACACCAAUGAGUCAUUAGUUUAACGUAGUCCAAGAAUUGUGGGUUAUAAAGUUUUAAGUAUCAAUGAAAAUCAAAUGAAAAGAGAAAGAAAGCAAGGAAGAGGGAGAGGGUCCACCAAAACGUUCUUAAUUCUUAACCCUACAAAUACCUUCAGGAUCAGGCAAGGCAAUGGCCCCGUCACUAAGCUUAACAGGCAGUAGCAAGGGGCCUAAAGCUAGACCCACGAAACUGCUAGAACCUGACGAAUUAUUGGCCAUUGAGACUGUUCAAGAUUGUCCUUGUAGAAUGUGGAUGAUAUCAUUUUUGCUGUUGCUCCCAAAUCAUCCAACUGAAGGGUCAACGCUUUACUAGGGAAAAACACAAAAGAAAGAUAAGAUUGGGAACUCGAAUUCAGGACAAAAUAAGAAGCUUUUCUAAUAGCUGUAAAAGAAAAGCUGUGGUCAGAAUUUUUCCCAUCAAGCUCUCAAGUGGAUAGAAGAAGAGAAUAAGCCUCUGGGGCUGCAGGGUCCUACAUUCUCAAUUAAAAAGAAGAAUGUGAAUCAACGUGGUGGAGUGUUCCUCUCAUGGUAAAAGCCAAUAGGAGCUAAGAGGUGGGUUGUUCCUUUUCAUAGCAAAUCCAUGUGGGUUCAAUUCCUUCACUUCUGAAGGUUUAGGUCGCUUUCUUAAUGAUUUUAGUAUCUGUCUAUUUGUUCAUAAUUCAUUGGAAAUAUUCCAAAACAAAAUGGCUAAAGUUUCAAACCUUUCAUUUGAACAAGAAAUAAAGUUGGCUUUUCAUAAUCCAUACCAGGGUACUACAAAUCAGAUCAUGUACAGAGACGAUGUGACAAAGAAGUUGACCAUAAUCACCUGGGUUUGUACUCCAUACUCACCAUUUUCGUACACGAGUAUUGAGCUGCAAUCAAAGAAAAGAUUGGAAACAAGCAGAACUACGCUAUGUCAUGAAGAACCAAUUUGUGAAAUCAGAUGAACCAGUUGUCCAAUUCAUUUCUUUUGCCAAACCCACAAGAGUAAACGUCAAGAAAUCUAUUAUUACAAUUAUAUCAUCAACCAUCACAAUCUCCUUUUAUUGCCCAACCAAAAUGUUUUGAGUAUAAAUUUGGAGAGAUUGACUACUCCUCCCAAAUUCAGAAUCAUCAAGAAUAUUGACAUCUAGAAACAGCAAUCAUAGUGUCUCUCUAAGACGUGGUAAAGAAACACAGGUACAUCACCAUCAUCGGCUAUAUUGCGUAUAAAGUUUCCCAGUUAAACACAAAAUGAAAAAUGGUAUAAACACAAACACAUACAUAUAUCCCAAUACAUCAAAUUCUAAUAAUAAUGAUCAUACACCUUGAUCAUUGUGGCUUUGUACUUGAUUUUUACGAAGAACAACGUAAUAAGAGGGGAAAUUUUAUAGGAAAUUAUAUUAUGGCAUUAAUAUAUAAAAUUACCUCGAUAAAGAGAAUAGAGGACGCAUGAAAGUGGAAGGAGAAAGCUUGACGAUACUGUCUUUGACCCCUGCAAAAUCUUCCCAUGUGAAGGAGAGGAUACAGGUUGAUGAUUUCAUUCUCUUCCUGUCUCUUUCGAAAUAGUGCUUAGUGAUCCAAUCAAAUAUUUGAUGAUGAGCAUCUCGAAUAUUUCUAAUCAAAAUUUGGUCACGGGCUCUCCAAGGGUAUCCGAUGCUUUCUCUUCUUGAUUACUCGAUCCAAACUAGACUUAAGGACUAAAACCCUUUCUGAUUUGCCAAGAAGAUCUGUUACAUGAAUAAAUAAAUAAAUAAAAAGACUGGGAAGUUGGCGGAACAGGCUACCAGGAACAGUGCGAAACACCUGAUCUGACCGACCUUUUCUCUCCAGAACAACCUCCCCAGUCCCAUUGAAAUUGCAGAAAUUAUUUUGGUAAUUGGCUAAUUUUAGCUUAAUAGCAUGUCUUCAAA
rnacentral:lncRNA from 1 species